AUUGAACGCUGGCGGCAGGCCUAACACAUGCAAGUCGAGCGAGCGGCGGACGGGUGAGUAAUGUAUGGGGAUCUGCGCGAUAGAGGGGGAUAACUAGUAGAAAAGGUGGCUAAUACCGCAUACUAUCGUAUGAACCGAUAUGGGAUUAGCUAGUAGGUGGGGUAAAGGCUCACCUAGGCGAAGAUCGCUAGCUGGUCUGAGAGGAUGAUCAGCCACACUGUGACUGAGACACGGCCCAGACUCCUACGGGAGGCAGCAGUGGGGAAUAUUCGACAAUGGACGCAAGCCUGAUGCAGCCAUGCCGCGUGUAUGAAGAAGGUCUUAGGGUUGUAAAGUACUGUCAGCGGGGAGGCGUUACCCGCAGAAGAAGCACCGGCUAACUCCGUGCCAGCAGCCGCGGUAAUUC
rnacentral:rRNA from 1 species